CCCCGGUAAACGGCGGCCGUAACUAUAACGGUCCUAAGGUAGCGAAAUUCCUUGUCGGGUAAGUUCCGACCUGCACGAAUGGCGUAAUGAUGGCCAGGCUGUCUCCACCCGAGACUCAGUGAAAUUGAACUCGCUGUGAAGAUGCAGUGUACCCGCGGCAAGACGGAAAGACCCCGUGAACCUUUACUAUAGCUUGACACUGAACAUUGAGCCUUGAUGUGUAGGAUAGGUGGGAGGCUUUGAAGUGUGGACGCCAGUCUGCAUGGAGCCGACCUUGAAAUACCACCCUUUAAUGUUUGAUGUUCUAACGUGGACCCGUAAUCCGGGUUGCGGACAGUGUCUGGUGGGUAGUUUGACUGGGGCGGUCUCCUCCUAAAGAGUAACGGAGGAGCACGAAGGUUGGCUAAUCCUGGUCGGACAUCAGGAGGUUAGUGCAAUGGCAUAAGCCAGCUUGACUGCGAGCGUGACGGCGCGAGCAGGUGCGAAAGCAGGUCAUAGUGAUCCGGUGGUUCUGAAUGGAAGGGCCAUCGCUCAACGGAUAAAAGGUACUCCGGGGAUAACAGGCUGAUACCGCCCAAGAGUUCAUAUCGACGGCGGUGUUUGGCACCUCGAUGUCGGCUCAUCACAUCCUGGGGCUGAAGUAGGUCCCAAGGGUAUGGCUGUUCGCCAUUUAAAGUGGUACGCGAGCUGGGUUUAGAACGUCGUGAGACAGUUCGGUCCCUAUCUGCCGUGGGC
rnacentral:rRNA from 1 species